rnacentral:rRNA from 1 species
AGAGUUUGAUCCUGGCUCAGAUUGAACGCUGGCGGCAUGCCUUACACAUGCAAGUCGAACGGCAGCACGAGAGCUUGCUCUUGGUGGCGAGUGGCGAACGGGUGAGUAAUAUAUCGGAACGUACCCUAGAGUGGGGGAUAACGUAGCGAAAGUUACGCUAAUACCGCAUACGAUCUACGGAUGAAAGUGGGGGAUCGCAAGACCUCAUGCUCAUGGAGCGGCCGAUAUCUGAUUAGCUAGUUGGUGGGGUAAAAGCUCACCAAGGCGACGAUCAGUAGCUGGUCUGAGAGGACGACCAGCCACACUGGAACUGAGACACGGUCCAGACUCCUACGGGAGGCAGCAGUGGGGAAUUUUGGACAAUGGGCGCAAGCCUGAUCCAGCAAUGCCGCGUGAGUGAAGAAGGCCUUCGGGUUGUAAAGCUCUUUUGUCAGGGAAGAAACGGUGGACUCUAAUACAGAUCACUAAUGACGGUACCUGAAGAAUAAGCACCGGCUAACUACGUGCCAGCAGCCGCGGUAAUACGUAGGGCGCAAGCGUUAAUCGGAAUUACUGGGCGUAAAGCGUGCGCAGGCGGUUGUGCAAGACAGAUGUGAAAUCCCCGGGCUCAACCUGGGAAUUGCAUUUGUGACUGCACGGCUAGAGUGUGUCAGAGGGGGGUAGAAUUCCACGUGUAGCAGUGAAAUGCGUAGAGAUGUGGAGGAAUACCGAUGGCGAAGGCAGCCCCCUGGGAUAACACUGACGCUCAUGCACGAAAGCGUGGGGAGCAAACAGGAUUAGAUACCCUGGUAGUCCACGCCCUAAACGAUGUCUACUAGUUGUCGGGUCUUAAUUGACUUGGUAACGCAGCUAACGCGUGAAGUAGACCGCCUGGGGAGUACGGUCGCAAGAUUAAAACUCAAAGGAAUUGACGGGGACCCGCACAAGCGGUGGAUGAUGUGGAUUAAUUCGAUGCAACGCGAAAAACCUUACCUACCCUUGACAUGUCUGGAAUCCUUGAGAGAUCAGGGAGUGCUCGAAAGAGAAUCAGAACACAGGUGCUGCAUGGCUGUCGUCAGCUCGUGUCGUGAGAUGUUGGGUUAAGUCCCGCAACGAGCGCAACCCUUGUCAUUAGUUGCUACGAAAGGGCACUCUAAUGAGACUGCCGGUGACAAACCGGAGGAAGGUGGGGAUGACGUCAAGUCCUCAUGGCCCUUAUGGGUAGGGCUUCACACGUCAUACAAUGGUACAUACAGAGGGCCGCCAACCCGCGAGGGGGAGCUAAUCCCAGAAAGUGUAUCGUAGUCCGGAUUGUAGUCUGCAACUCGACUACAUGAAGUUGGAAUCGCUAGUAAUCGCGGAUCAGCAUGUCGCGGUGAAUACGUUCCCGGGUCUUGUACACACCGCCCGUCACACCAUGGGAGCGGGUUUCACCAGAAGUGGGUAGCCUAACCGCAAGGAGGGCGCUCACCACGGUGGGAUUCGUGACUGGGGUGAAGUCGUAACAAGGUA